GACGAACGCUGGCGGCGUGCUUAACACAUGCAAGUCGAACGGAAAGGCCCUGCUUUUGUGGGGUGCUCGAGUGGCGAACGGGUGAGUAACACGUGAGUAACCUGCCCUUGACUUUGGGAUAACUUCAGGAAACUGGGGCUAAUACCGGAUAGGAGCUCCUGCUCCAGGGUGGGGGUUGGAAAGUUUCGGCGGUUGGGGAUGGACUCUCGGCUUAUCAGCUUGUUGGUGGGGUAGUGGCUUACCAAGGCUUUGACGGGUAGCCGGCCUGGGAGGGUGACCGGCCACAUUGGGACUGAGAUACGGCCCAGACUCCUACGGGAGGCAGCAGUGGGGAAUAUUGCACAAUGGGCGGAAGCCUGAUGCAGCAACGCCGCGUGCGGGAUGACGGCCUUCGGGUUGUAAACCGCUUUCGCCUGUGACGAAGCGUGAGUGACGGUAAUGGGUAAAGAAGCACCGGCUAACUACGUG
rnacentral:rRNA from 1 species